rnacentral:misc_RNA from 1 species
GAUGAAGAACGCAGCGAAAUGCGAAAAGUAAUGUGAAUUGCAGAAUUCAGUGAACCAUCGAAUCUUUGAACGCACAUUGCGCCCGCUGGAACUCCGGCGGGCACGCCUGUCCGAGCGUCAUUUCAACCCUCAGGCCCCCCUUCGCGGGCGGGCCUGGUGUUGGGGCCCGGCCGCUACCCUGCGGCCGUCCCCUAAAUUCAGUGGCGGCCUCGCCGUGAUCCCUUGCGUAGUAAUGCACCUCGCACCGGAGAGCGCCGUGGCCACGCCGUAAAACCCCCAAUUCUCAAUGGUUGACCUCGGAUCAGGUGGGAAUACCCGCUGAACUUAAGCAUAUCAAUAAGCGGAGGA